AUGGGGAGUAACUCACAUCAUAAACAAGCAGAUAUGAAGGCUGAAGUGGGGAAUAGAUCGUCUAAUGGCGCCGGCUUGCACUUGCAGGGACCAGCCACCGCGGCACUGCUGUCGGACCUAGGCAGGGCAGGGUGUGGCGCAGUCGCACGCAUAGGGUGGUGGGGAGCCACCGACGAGCGAGAUGGAGAGGGAGGCACCAGGCACGGAGGUUGCGACGCACGAUUGCCACUGCCCGCAAUCUGA
rnacentral:rRNA from 1 species